rnacentral:lncRNA from 1 species
CAUAAUCAACACAACUCAAGGGAUUUAAUCAUCACAAAACAGAACUAAACACUCUUUUAUGCUCUCCAUUUAUUUCCAACACACAAAGUCGAUUUUCAAACAAAUAUCUCAAUAUACACUCGACUUUCUAUAUAUAUAUUUUUUUUUCUUUUUUUCUUUUUUCUUUUCUUUCCACAACUUUUCUAGAGCUUAUAAGAGUAAAUAGUAACACAAUAUCAUCCCUUCUUUUUCACAACCCACUAUGAAUAUUCACCACAUAAAGAUCCCCAUAUACUACAUCACCCCCUAUCAUCCAGCUAAAGAAUAAAAGCUAAAUAGGCUCAAAGUGGAUAACAAAGGAUAAAUUUUGUUUUUCAAGGACAGUGUUUGGGAAAAUAAUGUGGCUAACAAAAGAUGGCCUAAAAUCAUCUCCUAAUCCUGGGCACAACAGCAACCUCGACACAGAAACCAUGGCAAGUU